ACCCGCUUCUACAUUAUUUAUGGGCAUAUUUAAGUCGGAGGAGAUAAAGCCUGUCUUUACAUUCAUGGUGACAGGCUGGAUUGGCCCUGAGGAAUUCAGGCCCUCUGUGAUUUAAGUGCCUGACAUGGUUGGCCAAACACAGAACUGAAUUUCCCUGUACAGAACAAACUGAAUGCAGUUAUUUCCCACAAGACCUUGUACACACACUAGGGACUUGCAGCAACAAUUGUGAGGCAAAAGAAAAGCCAGGAAAUACAAAUUUAUUUCAUUCCUUACAAUACAGUACGUUCAACGAUGAGCCCUUUAGAAUAAGUUCCAAAGAUUGGAAUCUUUUUAAUACAUCAAUGAACUACUGAUUGUUCAAAAGAUACAAAAGUGUAUAUACUGUCUAUAUAUAUUAACAUAAAAAAAAGCCCAGAGCGUGUAUUGCUGCAAUGACAAAGAAGCGUUCAGCGGGAAUGUCGCUACAUUCUAUUCAUGUAGAACGUCUGUUAUCUUUUCAACAUCUGCUCUGGAAAAACCAAAGCAUUAUUCAUGUGUAUAUGUUUCUCAUUUAAAGCAUUUGCUAAAGGUUCAUGGUUUUAUAUAUAUAUAUUUAUACAUACAUAUACAUAGUACAUAUACUUAGUCACAAUCCACUCUUGAUUUCAGUUUUAGCAGGCAGCUCUCCAAAGUGAAUUUAAUCAGGAGAGACUUGGUUCGUAUUGACAACCAUUUAUUACAUGUGUGACAUUGAAAUAGUGCAAUUAUGUGGCGAUUGGACUCCAUCCUAAACCAGGAUAAUCAAGGGGCGGUGAUGCAGAGUUCCAAAUGCCUCCUGGAGUCCAGACUCUAGUGGUGGUGGUGAAGAAGGGAGUUGAUGAAAAUGAUGGCUGGAGGUGCCUGCAUGGGGUGAAGGAGGGUCGCAUCUGGUUUCUCGUUGAAAGGACACCUGACCGCAACGACGGAGAGUCUUCCUAUCUGGACUACCUGUUAAGCUUCAUUAACGGGGUCCCGUUCUCCUCGUGACUGCCGGCUGUGUUAAUAAGCCACUGAUUGUUAAUACGUUAAUAGUUUAUUAGCUUUUUGAGGUGAUAAUUUGUGUUGUGUGUGUUUAUCCUAGCGUUUACACUAGGACUAACACUUUUGUCGUGUUGUGUGCUUUUUUUCCUUCAACCGUUCACCACCCUCCUCCUUUAAACCUCUGCUCAGUGUCAUGUUAUACGCUGCCUGGAAAGGAAGAAAAUUUAUUAACGAACGUUGCCAGCAAGCGGCCUUGGAUUUGGCAAAACAAAUAAUAAGUUAAUAUUCAUAAAAAACAAUCAAUUUAGUUGGAUACACAAUUUAGUGAGAAUUGAUAAGCAAAGUUCUACGCUAUAAAACCAAAACAACAAGUUAAAGGACACAAAAUGCUCUGCAGAUUAACUUUCACUUUAAAAGUUGCAUUCGACCUGUUGUUGAAAUGAAUAAAAAUUGAUUGAUUCAGCUUAAAGAUAUUUAUAUCUCACUGGUAAAAACUCAAAAUCUAAAUCACCUGAGUCCCUUUUGUUUGUGAGUCGCGAAGAAUACCACCGCACAAACACAGUCGGUUACGUAAUCUGUAACACUCAUACUCCCUCACACAUCUUUGGCUGCUAUCAAACAUGCAAACAUUAGAUUGUGUCAGUUUUAACUUCUCUGUGUGGCUCUUUUUCUUUAAGUUUCAUAACAUAGUCAAAGUACAACCUGUUAUCAAAGUCGACGCUGACAGUAACUGACAGUUAAUCAAUGUCUCUCUCUGUCACGCCGAGAGCAGCUCCGUCAUUGUGCAUCAGGGCAGUUUUUCACGCUCCAUUUACUGGAGCUGGUUCUCUGGUAUUUUAGGAAAAGGUGUCAAAAGGACGAAACACGUUCAGAAAUCUGUCCUUUUCCAACCUCGAAUUUUUCAAUGUUAAAUCGUUUCGAUGUCAUGUCACUUAACGCGGGUCUUUAAAGGAAUUAAGCCAGAUUUAGCAAGAGUUGUGUGAAAGCACGGAGGGGGAGUUCUGGGUCACGUAGUCUCUGUGCUCCGUCCAGUCCUUUGUAGCGAUGGAGGGCGGGGGGGUGUCUGGCUGCAGCGCGGUUUCUCUGGGGACCUUAUCUGGGUUCUGGGAACAAGGCGCUGUGCUGCUGUUUCUAUUGGCAUGGGGAUAGAGGGAAGGCCUGCGUUGGGAGAUAAACACUCCCUGCAGCCGGUCAGGAUUCCCGUUUGCUGCAGGUGUCAAAGAAAAAGCCCCACAGCCAUUAGACAUCAACACGUCUGCUGGUGACAAGUUGUCCCCCACGACUGGAGAAGAUAGAGGACUGGAAUGUAGUAGGUAAACAGGUAUACAGAUGGCAUAGGACAGGGAUGGGGGGGUAAGUGAGGAUGAGGGAAUUGAUGGAGGCACAAUGCAAAAAAAGGCUUUUUACCAAGUCAUUUAGUUUAAUUUUCAGUCUAAACAUCUCGUUAUUUUUUGCUAGCAAAUAGCAGACAUGUAACUACAGACAAAUGGGUGAAAGUGUGUCACCUUGGAGAGAAAAAAACACACAGACCAAAAACAAAAAAAUCAACAAAUAAUUGCGUGGGUUAUUAGAUGUAAAUGAUCAACCUGAUGUAUGAGACAUAAACAGAGAUUGAGGGUAUUAACCAAUCUAAAAAAGGUGAGAUCCCAAUUAGCAGUGAGGGACGGGAGCUGGAUCGUUAUAGUUUGCCAGGGAAUGAGCCAUCUGUGGAGGUCACGUUGAAUGGCAAGAAAACACUUCAGCGACACAACGCCGCGGCAGGUAGUGAGGAGGACACCGAACUGACACAUCAGAGCACCUGGCCCCGCCAGACUGUCAGCUUAUUUAUACACGGGACAAUAACCUGCCCCAGAACUGCUCAGUGCCACCAACAGGGAGAGGGGAGACGGACUGCGGGGUGAAAAAAAAGUGAUCUAAUAUAGAUUCACGUGACCGUCUGCCAUCUUUUUCACUGUGAGUUUGCGCCUGUAGAGUGAACCAAUGACAGGGUUUUUCUCCUCUGCCUGCUGUCACCUUCCUACCAGAGUUACUGGGAACCCAUUAAUGAUGUUGGAACACAAUCUCUGGGAGAUAUCGGAUUCAUCACUCUAAAAGGAAGGAUUUGAUGAAUAACCAUCACUGCAAAUAAAUGAAGCAAAAAUACAUGAAAAUAUAAUUUGCGAAGAUGUUUUUUUUAUUUAUAGGUUAAAGCCACCCUAUGAAACAGAGGCUUUACCCAUUAUACAAAACUGUUGCUGACUGAAUCAAAUGCUUAAAUUGGUUGGAUAAAGCAGACUCAAAUAUUAAGAAACACUGUAUUUGUUCUCGUUGUUAAAACAAGUGAAUUAAUGUGUCAUAGAGAUAGAGAGGGAAAAGGGGAGUAUUUUCUAGAGUUCCUAUUAGUCCGCCAAUUCAAUUAAUAGACAUCCGGUCUCUUGGCUCUCCGUUGAAAAAAGGUAAGGCUGGCUGCAGAGGCGGCUAAAGACAUUGUAAUUACUUAUUGAGUGGAGUAGGUGCCUGCGGCAGUGGACAAUGUCAGCCAGUGUAACGUGAGAGAUUCGGUUGGGGGACAUUAGUCUAAUUGCUUUUUGUCACCCCACAAGACACCCAUGGCAGUUUUAGAUAGUGUCAAGGUGUCUGGCUUUGGCUAUCUAUUGGACACAUUCUCAGGUCCAAAUGGGGAAAACCUUAAGAUCAAUGAAACCUUAUAUCUUUGUGAUGAUAAAUGAAUAGUUUCCUGCAGGUGUGUGGUGACCUUUCCAUUUCACAGCCUUCACAUCAACAAGCAAUAAUUCCAAAAAGUCAGAAUUCCGUGACGUCCGCCGAGUAUGGAGUUCAAUUUCAGUAUAAGAGCAAGAUAUGUUCAGCUCAGCUAAAUUAAAUGGAAACACCAGCAAUGUUGCAUAAACUGUGGUGAUGGGAACGUCUUGUUUCCACGAUAUACAGAGAGGAUUUAGGGAGCUCUGUUGUUAAGCGUUGAGAACAGGUGGCAGGCUUGUGUCCAUGUGUGAACGUGUGCUUGUGCACAGGUGCAACAUGUGUAUUCGGGUUGUGUGUGGAAGCCUUUGUCUGCCGUCCCAGAGGUGCACACGAGCAAAGAAGAGAAAUAUUUGGUGUUGGCAGAGUGGAUGCGUCUAAUGUCUGUCGCCCCUUUGGCUCAAAGCUGGACAGUGAUCACAGAGAAAACAGGAAAGGCUCCUGGAGCAGCUAAAAUAUGUUGUGAUACAACUAGUCAAUUUAAACAGAAAACCUUUAAGCACAGAAAUGAAGGGCCUUUUUUAAGAAGUAUUGUGCCUAACUGUUGGGGACCACUGGGCUGAUUCACAGCGUGUAUGUGUUUACACACCUCCUGGAUCCUGAUUGGUGUCGCUGCUGCAGCCGCAAGGCACUGAUUGGAUGCUCACAGACCGUAAUACAGCGCAGAUGAAAAUGAUUCAGACUACGGCGUUUAUAUGUUCAACAAUAGGAAACGUAGUCUUAGCUGUUUUAAAAUUACACCAAGUUUAUUUCGGAUUAUUCCAACGGAAGAAUACAAGGCGCAGGGAACUUUGAGGUGCGUAAACGCUAUUUAUAGGUGCGUAAACGCUAUUUCCAAAAUUCUAGAGGUGCGUAAACGGCGUUUACGUGCGUUUACCCUCCACUACAGCCCUGCCUGUUUGUUAUUGUUUUGCCAUGUGCUUGUGGUUUUGUUUUUGUGUCCCCAGUAGUGUCCUCAGAGCCCCGCCCAGUGCCACGCCUUUCAUGUUGCCUUUGUUUUUUCCCUGCCGGAGAAAAUAAAUAACCCCUGUUGGAAAAAGAGAAACCUUGGUGGUCCUGCGUGUUGCAUCUGGGUCCGUUUGCACAUCAUAACAUGUUGAGAGGAAAUCAACGUAGUCCUAAUGUAAGAUCUUGCACAUUUAACCAUCCUCAAGCUACAACGCGUAGCCCCGGAGUGACUCAUUAGAAAGCGAUACCUUAAAGAUGCAACAUUCCUCUGAGCUUUAUUACACCAAAUGCAGGGCUUCCAGAUGCGAUUCAGACAGAAUACCCAAGACUGCAGUCUUUGUGUCCCAGAAAGUGCUCCAUUACUCACUGUCUGCUGUUAACUUUAGCUGCAAAUGGCAUCAUUACCACUGUCUCACAGCAGCUGAGCUUCACGUGAGAGGUGUCUAAACCAUACGUUAAACGUGAGCUGUUAGACGUGUUACACAGCUUUUUAUGAACUGCUAAAAAAAGAAUCAACCUCAAACAUCUUGCUGACAAUAGCUUGUGAGAUUAUUUGCACAGACCUCAGAUUUGUCUUUCAGAGUUGUUUAUUUUUAGGAUUUGAAGAAAAGGAUAUAAGCACAGGCCCAAACCCAAGAUGAUGUGAAGGGAGCGUUUUAUUCCCAGAGCCAUAGUUUCUUUGUUCUGAUGACUGAAGUGUUCUGUUUUUGACAAAGAAAUCCGUGAAAUUCUACUUCGUGACUUGGCGCUUUCUUUUCAGCCCUAUAACAGAGCAGAGGUUACUGCUAAUCUUGGUCGACACAACCUCACCCUCACAGAAAGACAUGUUGGCUCGGACUUGCUGCACGAGAGAUUCUUUUUCAAAUCUCAAGUCAAUAAGAGAAAAUCUAAUCGAAACAGACCAAAAGAUAUUGCCGGGGGAGAGGCACCAUGUUAUUAACUGAUCUGUAGAUAGACUUGUUGGCUUUUAAAUUGUGCGGGAUAAGUGAUUCUAGAUAAUCCAUCGUUCCUCCUGGACACAAGAGUGCCAGCCUGGAUUCAACCCCGGCGACAAAAUGCCCAGCAAGCUUGGUUUCAUCUGGCUGACAGACAAACAAUUGGAAAUAGGAGAUGUAAAAUAGUCCCGGAGACGCCUAAGUAUUCCACGCUAAUAACAGUUUUAAUGAAUUGAAAACUGAAAGCCACUUAUGCAGGCUCAUGAAGGUAAACAGUAUUUGUCAGUAAAUAUGACCUAGUCAGUUACAGACAGAGUGUCAAAUGAGAAUAAUAUAGCGUUGUGUGUCUGUAGUCAAGGCCAGCUUUGACUUGUGAUGAGGAUACGUGAGAAAAGAAGGCACAAUGGGAGAGAGAGUCGAGCUGAACUUUGCACAGAUGGUGCAACUUUUCAGUAUAAAAUAGUAAAGCUCUGCAAAACAAAACCCCGACAGGCAUUCACAUGCUUGAUUUGGUAAAUCUUUAAUUCCCCAUCUUGUAAAGCAAUAAGUAUGGGGCAUCACAGCAUUGUCGAUGUGAUAUUGAAUUGUAUCCAGGGUGAAAUUAUAGUGUGGAAUUAAUCGGUAACAAGCCCAUAUGCAGGUCUCUGAUUCCAUUUUGUGUACAUCAAGCAUCAUAAAUCAUUGUGAACCUCAUUAAAUGCCCAGCAAGCUCGAGGCAAUUUCCUAGGGAGGCCGCUUGGCUCGGAGCCCCCAAAUCCCCAUGACUGAGAGAGGGAGAGGAGGGGAGGAUCAGAAAGAGAAUAAGCGAGGGAAAGAUAGAUGACUAGGUCUUGAAUGAUGAGCUCUCCUCUAUCUCUCUUCAGCCACAGAUAGAAACAGAAGGAACAGUGGACCUGGAGGGAUCGCACUCUGCUUCAGACUCGUCUUAUAAUAAGCACUCCGAGCUCGCCUGUCAGCAUAUUUAUUACCGCGUUUCUUCUUCAGGGUACGUUGCUGUCACACUGUUUGGUUUUCCUUCUAUGUUGAUGUUAUUGCUGCCUACA
ensembl:lncRNA